rnacentral:rRNA from 1 species
UACAGAGGUCUCAAGCGUUGUUCGGAUUCAUUGGGCGUAAAGGGUGCGUAGGCGGCGCCGUAAGUCGGGUGUGAAAUUUCGGAGCUUAACUCCGAAACUGCAUUCGAUACUGCGGUGCUUGAGGACUGGAGAGGAGACUGGAAUUCAUGGUGUAGCAGUGAAAUGCGUAGAGAUCAUGAGGAAGACCAGUGGCGAAGGCGGGUCUCUGGACAGUUCCUGACACUGAGGCACGAAGGUCAGGGGAGCAAACGGG